GACGAACGCUGGCGGCGUGCCUAACACAUGCAAGUCGAGCGGGAUCCAUCCGGUAGCAAUACUGGUGAAGAUCUAGCGGCGAACGGGUGAGUAACACGUGAGAAACCUGCCCCAGACUCUGGGAUAACACGAGGAAACUCGUGCUAAUACCGGAUACCUUCUUUUGGUCGCAUGGCCAGCUGAAGAAAGAUCUAUCGGUUUGGGAGGGUCUCGCGGCCUAUCAGCUAGUUGGCGGGGUAACGGCCCACCACGGCAUCGACGGGUAGCUGGUCUGAGAGGACGAUCAGCCACACUGGGACUGAGACACGGCCCAGACUCCUACGGGAGGCAGCAGUGGGGAAUCUUGCGCAAUGGGCGAAAGCCUGACGCAGCAACGCCGCGUGCGGGAUGAAGGCCUUCGGGUUGUAAACCGCUUUCAGCAGGGAAGAAAUUGACGGUACCUGCAGAAGAAGCCCCGGCCAACUACGUGCCAGCCGCCGCCGUAA
rnacentral:rRNA from 1 species